UACGAAGGGGGCGAGCGUUAUCCAGAAUGAUUGGGCGUAAAGUGUCCGUAGACCGUUAUGAGAUUGUUUUAAGUCAAAGAUUAAAUUAGUAAGUUAAUUCUGCUUUUAAUACUUUUUAACUAGAGUAUAGUAGAGGAUAAUGGAACUUCAUACAUAAGAGUAAAAUCUAAUCAUUUAUGAAAGAAUGUCGGAGGCAAAAGCGAUUAUCUGGACUUUUACUGACGUUGAGGGUCGAAAGCAUGGGGAGCAAACAGG
rnacentral:rRNA from 1 species